rnacentral:rRNA from 1 species
ACAUCCUGCGGGAGGCAGCAGUGGGGAAUAUUGGACAAUGGGCGCAAGCCUGAUCCAGCCAUGCCGCGUGAGUGAUGAAGGCCCUAGGGUUGUAAAGCUCUUUCACCGGUGAAGAUAAUGACGGUAACCGGAGAAGAAGCCCCGGCUAACUUCGUGCCAGCAGCCGCGGUAAUACGAAGGGGGCUAGCGUUGUUCGGAUUUACUGGGCGUAAAGCGCACGUAGGCGGACUAUUAAGUCAGGGGUGAAAUCCCGGGGCUCAACCCCGGAACUGCCUUUGAUACUGGUAGUCUUGAGUUCGAGAGAGGUGAGUGAAAUUCCGAGUGUAGAGGUGAAAUUCGUAGAUAUUCGGAGGAACACCAGUGGCGAAGGCGGCUCACUGGCUCGAUACUGACGCUGAGGUGCGAAAGCGUGGGGAGCAAACAGGAUUAGAUACCCCAGUAGUCCCAUG